GCUACCGUAGCAUAACCUGGUUUUGCCAAAGACCUAAACCCUUUUUACAGAAGUUCAAAUCUUCUCGCUAGCU
rnacentral:tRNA from 1 species